rnacentral:rRNA from 1 species
AAAGGCGCUUUCGGGUGUCGCUGAUGGAUGGACCCGCGGUGCAUUAGCUAGUUGGUGAGGUAACGGCUCACCAAGGCCACGAUGCAUAGCCGACCUGAGAGGGUGAUCGGCCACAUUGGGACUGAGACACGGCCCAAACUCCUACGGGAGGCAGCAGUAGGGAAUCUUCGGCAAUGGACGAAAGUCUGACCGAGCAACGCCGCGUGAGUGAAGAAGGUUUUCGGAUCGUAAAACUCUGUUGUUAGAGAAGAACAAGGAUGAGAGUAACUGUUCAUCCCUUGACGGUAUCUAACCAGAAAGCCACGGCUAACUACGUGCCAGCAGCCGCGGUAAUACGUAGGUGGCAAGCGUUGUCCGGAUUUAUUGGGCGUAAAGCGAGCGCAGGCGGUUUCUUAAGUCUGAUGUGAAAGCCCCCGGCUCAACCGGGGAGGGUCAUUGGAAACUGGGAGACUUGAGUGCAGAAGAGGAGAGUGGAAUUCCAUGUGUAGCGGUGAAAUGCGUAGAUAUAUGGAGGAACACCAGUGGCGAAGGCGGCUCUCUGGUCUGUAACUGACGCUGAGGCUCGAAAGCGUGGGGAGCAAACAGGAUUAGAUACCCUGGUAGUCCACGCCGUAAACGAUGAGUGCUAAGUGUUGGAGGGUUUCCGCCCUUCAGUGCUGCAGCUAACGCAUUAAGCACUCCGCCUGGGGAGUACGACCGCAAGGUUGAAACUCAAAGGAAUUGACGGGGGCCCGCACAAG